GAUGAACGCUGGCGGCGUGCUUAACACAUGCAAGUCGAACGAUGAAGCCCAGCUUGCUGGGUGGAUUAGUGGCGAACGGGUGAGUAACACGUGAGUAACCUGCCCUUAACUCUGGGAUAAGCCUGGUAAACUGGGUCUAAUACCGGAUAGGAGCGUCCACCGCAUGGUGGGUGUUGGAAAGAUUUAUCGGUUUUGGAUGGACUCGCGGCCUAUCAGCUUGUUGGUGGGGUAAUGGCUCACCAAGGCGACGACGGGUAGCCGGCCUGAGAGGGUGACCGGCCACCAUGGGCCUGAGAGACGGCCCAGACUCCAACGGGAGGCAGCAGUGGGGAAUAUUGCGCAAUGGGCGCAAGCCUGAUGCAGCGGCGCCGCGUGAGGGAUGACGGCCUUCGGGUUGUAAACCUCUUUCAGUAGGGAAGAAGCGAAAGUGACGGUACCUGCAGAAGAAGCACCGGCUAACUACGUG
rnacentral:rRNA from 1 species